rnacentral:ncRNA from 1 species
UCAAUGGUGAUGAUUAAGGGGAAAAAUCCGGUUCUUUUUUUCAGAGAAGAGAUGUUUUUGGUGAGAGUCUCAAAAAAAGUGGAUUUUGGGUUACUUAUGAGCCAAUUUUUUAAUCUUAUGGAUUAAAAAAUCGAACUUAAUCGUUCGUUAUCAAAUUAUUAAAGAGGGGCUUUUAUGCCCAAUUUAGGUGGUACCGCGAAGCAUUUCGUCCUAUUA